GAUGAACGCUGGCGGCGUGCCUAAUACAUGCAAGUCGAGCGAACAGAUAAGGAGCUUGCUCCUUUGAAGUUAGCGGCGGACGGGUGAGUAACACGUGGGUAACCUACCUAUAAGACUGGGAUAACUUCGGGAAACCGGAGCUAAUACCGGAUAACAUUUAGAACCGCAUGGUUCUAAAGUGAAAGAUGGUUUUGCUAUCACUUAUAGAUGGACCCGCGCCGUAUUAGCUAGUUGGUAAGGUAACGGCUUACCAAGGCGACGAUACGUAGCCGACCUGAGAGGGUGAUCGGCCACACUGGAACUGAGACACGGUCCAGACUCCUACGGGAGGCAGCAGUAGGGAAUCGUCCGCAAUGGGCGAAAGCCUGACGGAGCAACGCCGCGUGAGUGAUGAAGGGUUUCGGCUCGUAAAACUCUGUUAUUAGGGAAGAACAACUGUGUAAGUAACUGUGCACAUCUUGACGGUACCUAAUCAGAAAGCCACGGCUAACUACGUG
rnacentral:rRNA from 1 species